UACAGAGACUGCAAGCGUUAUUCGGAUUCACUGGGCGUAAAGGGUGCGCAGGCGGCCAAGUGUGUUAGGCGUGAAAGCCCGGGGCUUAACCCCGGAAUUGCACCUAAAACUACAUGGCUAGAGCAUUGGAGAGGGUAGCAGAAUUCAUGGUGUAGCAGUGAAAUGCGUAGAUAUCAUGAGGAAUACCAGAGGCGAAGGCGGCUACCUGGACAAUUGCUGACGCUCAGGCACGAAAGCUAGGGGAGCAAACAGG
rnacentral:rRNA from 1 species